ensembl:lncRNA
AUGGCGCCCGUUUCUCGUUCGCAAUUAUGGCAACUUGGCGCGGAACCCCCACGCCCCCUUCCACUGCGCCCCAAGCGCAGAGCCCCGGGCGGGGAGCAGGGCGGCUCCCAGGGCACUUGGAGCGGCGCUGCCGGCGCGGGAAGUUGCCCGAGUCCAGCGCCGCUGCCGGCGCGAAAUUGCAGGCGGGCGGGCGCGUCGAGUUUGAAAACGAGCGAGGGCCGUGGGGGCGGGCCCCGGGAGCGGAGCCGCCUCCCUCGGCCAAUCAGCGGGGGCGGCGCGUGCGGCCGGGCUGUGAAUGGGGAGCGGCGGCCGCGGCGGAGGGCGAGAGCCGGCGCGCGGGCGGGCGCACUUUCUCCUCAGCGCCGGGUGACAGCGCGGCGGUCGCCCGGAAGGGCUCCGGGCGUCGCGACGAGAACUGCCCCCGCUGACGACUUCUCCUCCGCCUCGCUCGACCCCUGCCGCGCCCCUCACGCGGGCACCCGGGACGCCGCCCCUCAGCGCCGGGCACCGCGUCCACCCGGGGCCGUCCCAGCCGUCCGGUGCGGCGUGGCGCUCCGGGUGGCAGCUCCUCGGUAUGGUCCGCGGUGCCCGGCCCUCGGUGACCGCCGGCGGGCGGCAAAGUUCAGCCCGGGCCGCGGGCGGUGGGCGCUGCUGCUGCUCCAGCUGCACUUGCUGCGGGCGCUGGCUCAAGAUGUUGGAGAUGAUGCAGAAAGAACAAGAUAGUGUGUGACCAAGCCCCUCUGUAUGAUGGAAGUCAGUGUUGAUUUUAUAUACAAACCACCAGAUGACAACAGAAAAAGUCUUCGCAUAGAAUAUAAUCUGUGGUUUCUACAACUCCUUUGUUUCUUCUGUGACACACUACUUUACAACGUAUUUAUGCAAUAGGUAAAAUUUUGGUUAAGAGCAAGGUGAGUUUAUAAUACUUGACGAUGCAAUAUCACAAGUAGGAAAGAGAAUGGUGGGGAAAGUUCAGUCACCUAGAUAGAGUUGGCAUUUAUGCUGUAUUGUGUGGGCUGUACCCAAAGAAACAGGGACAUAACAUGAUUUUGUAUUUGUUUAAAUGAUUAUUUAUUUGAAAGUCAGUUAAACAGAGAGAGGCAGAGAGGCAGAGAGAGAGAGAGAGAGAGAGAGAGAGAGAGAGAGAGAGAUACCUACCUGCUGGUUUACUCCCCAACUGGCUGCAACAGAUGGAGCUGUGCUGAUCUGAAGCCAGGAGUCAGGAUCUUUGUCCAGGUCUCCCACAUGGGUGUGGGGGCCCAAGGACUUGGGCCAUCCUCCACUGCCUUCUGAGGUCUGCCAUCCUCCACAGCAGAGAACUGGAUCAGAAGUGGAGCAGCUUUGACUUGAACUAGCACCCAUAUGGGAUGCCGGCACUGCAGGCAGUGGCAUUACCGCUACGCCACAGUGCGGGCCCUGAUUUAUAUUGUAUAGUUACGCUUUUACUUCUGAUGUAAAUUGUUAGUACUCUUAAAUUUGAGAGGCAGGGAGAGACAGCUUGUGCUCCAAUCUACUGGUUCAGUCUUUGGAUACCUGCUGUGGUUGGACCAAGACUGAAACCAGCCACCAGGAACUUGAUCUGGGUCUCGUAUGUGAGUGGCAGGGACCCAAUUGAGGCAUCAUUGCUACUUCUAAGAUUUGGAUUAGCAGAAGCUGGACUCCAGAGCCAGAGCUGAGCAUUGAGCCCCAGUACUCUAAUAGGGACACAGGUGUCUUAACUGGAAGGGCAAAUGCCUGUCCCUGAUUUUUUUUUUUUUCCGCUUUCAUGAAGCCCUUACUGUGAUGGUUUGGAGAACAUAAAGGAAAGCAUGGGCUUGACCUAAAGCAUUUUAUAUAACAUCUUUAAAUGGAAGAGGUGCAUGAGUUUACAAACAUAGACUGUAUGUAUAUAUAUGCUAGGCAAAGGUAUUUUUUACUUUAUGUGGAAUUUCAGUUUUUGCUUUGUAGGUAUACUAUAAGUGUGUUACCAUAGUUCUUUCAAAGCCUUUUUCUUAGCAAAGAAUCUUGGUUGCAAGCUAGAAACUUAGUCUGAACUACUUUAGAGAAAAAGGGUUUUUCUGGAAGGGUCCUGGGGUAUCACAGUGUAAUGAGAAAAAUACCUUGAAAUGUGGGCAGGUUUAGGUUUCUGCUCUGCUUCAGGAGUCACUGGAGCCAAGUGCUGAAAACCUCAGGUGCUGUCCUCUUAGUCAUCAUUUCUCAGUUUGCUCCUCUUUCUGUCCUGGCAUCAUUUUUGGCUCACUGCAAAUUGCUUUGUUACUGAAACCCAGAUGUCACCAAUACUUGCAUUCCUAUAGUUUCAGACUCUGGAAUAAAGAUGGACUUAAAGCUAUGAUUUUGAGUCUC